rnacentral:lncRNA from 1 species
GGAAAUGGGUCGCGACCCAACCCACGCAUUCCGCCCCCGGCUCCGAUCUGCUAAGCCCCCUCGGAUCGGGUUGCGGGUCCCCUCCUCCCCCCCGACCCACCACCGCUCGCCGCCGGCCGCCUCCGACGAGUGGGCGAUCAUAUUUAGAUACAAGAUAGCAUGCUGGAGCCAACAGCUAUGGAAGUGCCGAUUACUAGCUCAGUGAACACUGCAGUGGUGCCUGUGCCUGUGGUGCACAAUCCACGGGCACGGAAAUUGCGGUCUGCAGUUUGGCAGGACUUCACUAAGGAACGGCGUGCUGAUGGAAGCUGUGUUGCUGUCUGUAACCACUGUAAGAAGCAGCUCACAGCUACUAGCCGGUCAGGCACCACACACCUACGCAACCACCUCGCAAUCUGCACCACCACCUCCACGCGUCGUGCUGGUAAGCGCCGGAAGCUUAUUGUGCGCCAUGAUCAGAUUGCUAGUCUCAUUCUAGAGAAGUUGCGUGAGUGGGGUAUUGACAGGAAGCUAGCUGCCAUUGUACUGGACAACUGCGCCUCUGGUGAGAUUGUUGCUAGAGAGCUUCUCGUAGUUCUGCAGCCUAGGAGACUCCUCCUAUUAAAUGGGAAUUUGUUCCAGGUGCGCUCUUGUGCGCACAUUCUUAACCUCACAGUCCAAGAAAGCUUAGAACAGACAUCUGAUAUAAUUACUAGAGUCCGUGAGAUGAUUCAGAAUGUCAAGUUCUCACAAGAAAGGUUCGAAAAGUUUCAGGAUACUGCAAAACUGUUGCAGAUGGACCAAAAACUGCUAGUUCUUGAUUCUCCUAAUAACUGGCCGUCUACAUACUUAAUGUUUGAUUCUGCAUGUUACUAUCAUGAUGUUCUCAUGCGCCUUGCAGAACAGGAAGCACAUUAUGGUGCUUUUCUCACUGCGAAGGAGUGGGCCGAUGUGAAAGCCCUCACUGAAAUACUUGAUGCGCUCUAUCAUAAGAUGGAGAAGUUUCCUGUGGAAAAUCCGACUGCAAAUCUCUAUUUUAAUGACAUGUGUGAGGUGCAUGUUCUUUUGAAUACCUGGCGUAAUAGUCCAUCUCCUGUUGUUGCACAAGUGGCUGACCGAAUGCUGACAAAAUUUGAGGGGUACUGGGAUCUUACUAGACCAGUAAUGGCAUUCGCAUCUAUUCUGGAUCCUCGAUAUAAGAUGAAGUCUGUUGAGUACUUCUGUAGACUCAUUUAUGCUGCUGAUCAAUUUAGAGCAAAGACAACAAUAGAUGACAUUCGGCAGAGUUUUACCAAUUUGUGCAGUGAAUAUGAACAGUCAGGAAAUUCAUUCAAGAAUCCAUCUGCUCUCUUCUACUCUGCAACCAGUAAUUCUUGCAUGAGUUCGGUAUACAGCAAUGGUGAUGAUUUUAAGACCUUCUCCCGUAUCACAUUAUCUGAUGCUC